CUUGUACUAUUUUUUAUUCAUUUAUGAUAUUUACAAUGUAGCAAAAAAAAUAUUAAAUUGAUUAUACCAAAAUUUUAUGUUUUUGACAUAAGUUACAAAAGAAUACUAGUGACAGAGAACUGAAUGAAACUAAACAACAGAGCUAAUUCAACCACAUCUUAACUUUGAACAAAGACUAGAAGCUAGACAGUAGAGAUGGAAGCCAACAAAGCAAGCUUGGACCAAAGAAGUGAUAAGGACCGCACGCAAACCGGUCGCCGCGAGAAGGAGAGAGAUGGGUGCAUGCCCCAAAC
rnacentral:lncRNA from 1 species